rnacentral:lncRNA from 1 species
ACUCCCCACGAGCGGUCCGUAGUUUGGGGUAGAAAAGAUCUUUUUCUUUCGAUAAGAGCGCAUUUCUAGCGUAGGUUGGGAAGCCGACACUCCCCGGUAACUGGCAGGGGGAGGCGGUUUGCGGGACGCUGCCGGGGGGCGCUGAGCUUUGUGCCAACCUCUCCCAGCGUCCGGCCAGCCAGGAGAAAGCUGCGAAUGCAGGAGGGGAUGAAGGCGGAGAAUGGGUGAGGAAGGAAGGGGCUGGGAAAUGGGAAGAGGUCGUUCUGCCCCCGAAACUACAUAAUGGCUGGGAAGGACCGCCAAACAAGACUGGAACCAGUAGGAAGUUGUACGGUAUGAAGAAACAGGCCCAAGGAAGCUUCCAGAUUUUGUCAGAUGGUAGAUUCCAAGUCUCCAACUUCUACUGCUGCUUGGUGCUGUCUAACCGUCCCUUAAUGGCACAGAUUCACUGGACAGGUUGGUUAUUCAUUCCUGAAGUGUUUAUGUCCUCUUGCUUCCAGGCUGAAGGAGCUGUGUUCUCCAGGACAUGUGAGUCUGAAACUGAAGCUAAGACAGUGUGGUUGGAGGAAUGAAUGGCCCCCAAAGAAGUUUACAGUCUCAUUUCCAGAACUGUGAUUAUGGUUCUAACAAGGGAAUUAUUGACAUCAUCUACAAGGCAUAUUAACCAUGAAGAAAGACAGAUUUCAACUGUACGUCCUCUUUCUGCAGAGACUGAAGAAGAGAGUUCCAUGGACCCCAGCUUCAAAAAACAUGACUCUACAGUGUGAAAUAAUUGAGGGUAAGCACUGCGAAUUUUUUUUUUUUUGGGGGGGCCACACCCACAGGAAUGUGGAAAAUCUCAGGCUAGGGGUUAAAUCGAAGCUGCAACUGCCAGCCUACACUAUAGCCAUAGCAACUUGGGAUCCAAGCUGGGUCUGUGACCUACACCACAGCUCAUAGCAACGCUGGAUCCCCAACCCCACUGAGUGGAGCCAGAAAUGGAACCCAGAUCUUCAUGGAUAUUAGCCAGAUUCAUUUUCACUGUGCUGCAACGGGAACUCCAGCACUGUGAAUUUGGGACAUGAUGUCUCCCACACUGAGUAGAUAGUCCUGUACAUAUUGAGUCCUGAAAACACUGAAUGAAUGAAUCAAAUAGCCUUUUUUGGAGAUCCACUGUACUGGUAGUAUGCUAUGUGUUUUAUGUAUGUUCUUUCAUUCUUCUAAUGUUGUUCUAUGGCUGAGGAAACUGAAGCUAACUAGAAGUAAAAGAAGCUGAAGAUCUAGAAUUGACAAGCAUAGAAAGGAGAUAUGAAUAGAUCUGAAGUUCAAGGGGAGGACUCCUGCAUGAGCAGGGCCUUAGUCUGGGUGUUGAGACAUGUUGUGAGAUUCACCAUCAUGGCUCAGCUGGUCCUAGUUCCAGGCCCAGCUGUGGGGGGCCAUCACCUCUGAGGUCUUCUCAGGCCACCAUGUGGCAGCACCAUUGUCAGGCACUUGUUGUCAGUGACAAAAAUGGACUUCCUAUUUGCUCCUUCUAAUAGCCCCUUAAAAUAACACAUGAGUCUUUCAUAGUUUUAGCUUCCACUUGAGAACCUGCAUUCAGACUAAAACCUUUUUGUUGUGGUUGAGAUUGAUUUGCAAUCUGAUUCUUGCAUUAGAUAGCCAUUCUUAGGCUAUUAGGAGCCCCAUAGAAAAUUGCUCCAAUGGAUCCAUAUCACUUUGGGAAGUUCCCGUGGAAUUGUUCUUCCGGAGAAAUGAUAAAAACUCUGGGUCAGUCGCUAGAGUGUCAGCAGAUUGAAUGGCCAAAAGAGAAUGCCUCCCAUCUGUGGCCCUGAAGUGCUGGGUCAGCAGAGGAAAGUGGUUAAAAUAAUUACCGUGGAGUCAGGGAAUUUGGCAGAUUUGGGAGAUCACACAUGUAAAGGGACCUUUUUUCCUCCGUUUUCUUAUCUCAGACCCAUGUGAAUUGAUGAUCAUGAGGGCACCAAGGGGACAGAAAUAGACGUUAUCCUGCUCCGGUCCCAAACCGGGAAGAAAGAAAUAACCAACCCUACUUCUCUACAUGGGUGGAAUGAGGGCUGACCAGUAUGCAAAUGGCAGCAGACAUAUGGUUAUGUUCUGAUUAGCUACUAGUGAUUUGAAGCCAUGCAUAUGUAUCAACUGCUGAUGUAUGUAUGGACAAUACAUCUGUUUACACAAAUAGACUUGAAGCAUUUUUUUUUCCAUUUUUCUUAAGGAUCUAGUACUGGAUGCCCAUAGGAAAAGAUGUUUUACUUCCUUUUCCCAUUAAUUUUGAUCAGCCAGAAUCAAACUACUUUGUUUUCUCUUAUUCUUACUUUUGUGAAGGAACUUUUUCUUUGUGUGUGUAGCUUUACUAACCAUAUUGUUUGGGCUCUUGAAAAAGGAGGUAUGGGAGUUCCCAUUGUGGCCUAACAAGAUUGGCAGCAUCUCUGGAGUACUGGGAUACAGGUUAAGUCCCCGGCCCAGCACAACAGAUUAAGGAUCUGGCAUUGCCUCAGCUAUAGCAUAGGUUGAAACUGCAGCUCGGAUCUAAUCCCUGGCCUGGGAACUCUAUGUGCCAUGGGG